GACUAAAGAAAAGAAAAAGUUUUAUUUAUCUUAUAGGGAUUUUUUUCUUUUUCUAUUUUACAACCAAAAAGCAAAAUUUUUUUCUUCCCAUCUUCACCAAAAAGCACUAACUGUAGACGAGAAUGGGCAACUCUCACAGGGGGUUAGGUGGAAGUCUGGGGGGAAAAACCAUCGUCGGAGGAUUUCCAAAAUCCGCCGCUAAAUAAAAACCUGUAGCACCACCCUAACUCUAAACCUUGCUAAGCUAUCCCACCCCACUUCUUCCAUCAAUAAGUGAAAGUUCUACUCCAAUCUCAAUAGAAUCAAGGAGUUCUUCAUUAAUUCUUCUAGAUGGAACGAUAAUCCUUGCUCUCUCUGGUCUGUCGAAUGUUUUCUGAGGAUUUGGCAUAGGAACGAUAAGCAUACCAGGUGAGAUUGGAUCGUUUCUGCGUUUGCAUGUCACUGGUUUGGCUGAAACUCAUUUCCUAGGUGCCACUGUCGGGGCAUGAAGCUUUUGUGUUUUAAGGGUUUAGCUUUGAUAGUUCUCUGUGUAUUGGAAAAGUUUGGCG
rnacentral:lncRNA from 1 species